rnacentral:ncRNA from 1 species
AUGGUGGAGAGAGUUUAUCUGAAGUUUCUUCGACGAGAAAUUAUAAUUAUGUAAAUAUAUGUGAAUUAUUUAUUAUGUAUAUAUAAUUAUAAGUAGUUUUAGAAGUUUUAUAAUGGUGGUUGAAGACAUGGGGUGGGGGUGGGGUGGGGGCUACGGGUGCAAAGAGUUUCCAUUGUUAAGUUUGAAAUCUUAAAUAGACUGAUAAGUCGGAGGAAGGUGAGGAUGAUGUCAAGUCAUCAUGCCCCUUAUACCCUGGGCGACACACGUGCUACAAUGAUUGGGAUCAAGGGUCACGAUCCCGCGAGAGUGAGCUAACCCCCAAAACCCAUCCUCAGUUUGGAUUGCAGGCUGCAACUCGUCUGCAUGAAGUCGGAAUCGUUAGUAAUUGUCGGUCAGCCAUACAUAAU